rnacentral:rRNA from 1 species
GAAACAGGUUAAUAUUCCUGUACUUGGUGUUACUGCGAAGGGGGGACGGAGAAGGCUAUGUUGGCCGGGCGACGGUUGUCCCGGUUUAAGCGUGUAGGCUGGUUUUCCAGGCAAAUCCGGAAAAUCAAGGCUGAGGCGUGAUGACGAGGCACUACGGUGCUGAAGCAACAAAUGCCCUGCUUCCAGGAAAAGCCUCUAAGCAUCAGGUAACAUCAAAUCGUACCCCAAACCGACACAGGUGGUCAGGUAGAGAAUACCAAGGCGCUUGAGAGAACUCGGGUGAAGGAACUAGGCAAAAUGGUGCCGUAACUUCGGGAGAAGGCACGCUGAUAUGUAGGUGAAGUCCCUUGCGGAUGGAGCUGAAAUCAGUCGAAGAUACCAGCUGGCUGCAACUGUUUAUUAAAAACACAGCACUGUGCAAACACGAAAGUGGACGUAUACGGUGUGACGCCUGCCCGGUGCCGGAAGGUUAAUUGAUGGGGUCAGCGCAAGCGAAGCUCUUGAUCGAAGCCCCGGUAAACGGCGGCCGUAACUAUAACGGUCCUAAGGUAGCGAAAUUCCUUGUCGGGUAAGUUCCGACCUGCACGAAUGGCGUAAUGAUGGCCAGGCUGUCUCCACCCGAGACUCAGUGAAAUUGAACUCGCUGUGAAGAUGCAGUGUACCCGCGGCAAGACGGAAAGACCCCGUGAACCUUUACUAUAGCUUGACACUGAACAUUGAGCCUUGAUGUGUAGGAUAGGUGGGAGGCUUUGAAGUGUGGACGCCAGUCUGCAUGGAGCCGGCCUUGAAAUACCACCCUUUAAUGUUUGAUGUUCUAACGUGGACCCGUGAUCCGGGUUGCGGACAGUGUCUGGUGGGUAGUUUGACUGGGGCGGUCUCCUCCUAAAGAGUAACGGAGGAGCACGAAGGUUGGCUAAUCCUGGUCGGACAUCAGGAGGUUAGUGCAAUGGCAUAAGCCAGCUUGACUGCGAGCGUGACGGCGCGAGCAGGUGCGAAAGCAGGUCAUAGUGAUCCGGUGGUUCUGAAUGGAAGGGCCAUCGCUCAACGGAUAAAAGGUACUCCGGGGAUAACAGGCUGAUACCGCCCAAGAGUUCAUAUCGACGGCGGUGUUUGGCACCUCGAUGUCGGCUCAUCACAUCCUGGGGCUGAAGUAGGUCCCAAGGGUAUGGCUGUUCGCCAUUUAAAGUGGUACGCGAGCUGGGUUUAGAACGUCGUGAGACAGUUCGGUCCCUAUCUGCCGUGGGCGCUGGAGAACUGAGGGGGGCUGCUCCUAGUACGAGAGGACCGGAGUGGACGCAUCACUGGUGUUCGGGUUGUCAUGCCAAUGGCACUGCCCGGUAGCUAAAUGCGGAAGAGAUAAGUGCUGAAAGCAUCUAAGCACGAAACUUGCCCCGAGAUGAGUUCUCCCUGACCCUUUAAGGGUCCUGAAGGAACGUUGAAGACGACGACGUUGAUAGGCCGGGUGUGUAAGCGCAGCGAUGCGUUGAGCUAACCGGUACUAAUGAACCGUGAGGCUUAACCUUACAACGCCGAAG